GACCAGGCGGAAUAAUCUCUCCCGGGGGGGAGGGGGGGUCUGGUGGGGGGAGCCGGCGACCCCUGGACGUGGCCGGGACUACAUUUCCCAAGAUGCUCUGCGCCUGGGUUUCGUUCGGCGCUGAGUAGCGACCCGGGAUUGAGCUCUUCGUUGACAAUUGGAAGUGCUUUUAUCACUUUGGACCUAAUGGAUAAAGAAAGGAGCCAUAUGCCUCCAGAAGACUGCUCCCUUGGUCAUAAGAGAGAACAUCUGAAGGACCGUCUAAGGCUUCACGGGGGAGGACCUGAUUGCCAGAGUCGAUGAGGUUUGCCCUCCAGGUUUCGGGGAAUGGAUUCUACCAUGAUGAAGAGAUCCUGAAAUGUGUGGCAGCUACUGUCACCAGAGCCUGUCAUCCUCCUUCAUUCCAUGGCUCACUUCUAACCAGCAAUAUCCAGGAGGAAAACUUGCCUAUUCCCUUCUCCAGCAGGAACAUUCUCUCUCUCUCUUUCUCGCUCUCUCUCUCUCAUACACACACACACACACACACACACACACACACACACACACACAUACAUACAUAUAUACGGUGGGGUGUAGGCAUUUGGAAGACUAUGGUUGACCUGGUAUAUAAGAGAUCAGAGAAAAGAAAUAGGACAGGAAUGAGAAGGAGGACAAGGCAGGAAAGAAAAGGGAAAAGUGAGUAGGUCAAGAGAAAUGUGUCAAGGUAUUUGGAGGUUGUAAACUUCAAGCAAAGACCAACUAAUAAUGACAAAAGGGUAAGGUCUUCACACUGUCCUAUUUUUAAAAAAUGUUUAAAAUAUACUUACUAUAUGCUAGGAACUGCCUUUGUGCUCUACACCCUGUAUCAUUCUAUUUAAUUUGAAUCUUACAGAUGAUAAAAAUUGGGGAAUCAGAAGGAUGAACACAGUAUGACUGACUCCAGUCUAAUCCCUCCUUAUUCACUAAGCUAAACCCUCUUAGUCAGAGCUCACUGACUAUUAGGAUUUUAAUGCCAUGUGUUGAAUGCCUACGACAUCCCAAGCACCUCUCUUCCACCUUUUAUUUUCUUUUAACUUUAUCAUGGUAAGAACACUCAACAUGAGAUCUGCCCUUCCAACAGUAUUGUAAGUAUAGAGCAUAUUAUUACUGACUGUAGGUACAAUGUUGUACUGCACGUAUCUAGAACUCACUCAUUCUGCUUAACUAAAACUUUAUGCCCUCUGAUGAGUAACUCCCUAUUUCCCUCCCCCUUCCAGCCCUUGGUAAUCACCAGUCCAUACUUUCAUUCUAUGAAUUUGACUAUUUUAGUAUUUCACAUCAAUGGAAUGAUUCAACUUAUCUUUUUGCAACUAGCUUAUUUCACUUAGCAUAAUGUCUUUAAGGUUCAUCCAUGUUGUCACAUACAGCAGAAUUUCAUUUUUAAAGGAUGAAUGAUAUUCCAUUGUGUGUAAAUACCACAUUUUCCUUAUCCAUUCAUCUGUCAAGGGACAUUUGGGUUGUUUCCCUAUCUUGGUUUUUGUGAACAAUGCUGCAAUAAACACAGUUGUG
rnacentral:lncRNA from 1 species